rnacentral:rRNA from 1 species
UACGUAGGUGGCAAGCGUUAUCCGGAAUUACUGGGCGUAAAGCGCACGCAGGCGGUCUAUUAAGUUUGACGUGAAAGCUCUCGGCUUAACUGGGAGAGGUCGUUGAAUACUGAGAGACUUGAGUUUAGGAGAGGGGUGUAGAAUUCCCGGUGUAGUGGUGGAAUGCGUAGAUAUCGGGGGGAAUACCAGUGGCGAAAGCGGCACCCUAGCCUUUGACUGACGCUCAUGUGCGAAAGCGUGGGGAGCGAACGGG